AUGCAGAUCUUCGUGAAGACUCUCACCGGCAAGACCAUCACCCUUGAGGUCGAGUCGUCUGACACGAUCAACAAUGUCAAGGCCAAGAUCCAGGACAAGGAGGGAAUCCCUCCGGACCAGCAGCGCCUCAUCUUUGCUGGCAAGCAGCUAGAGGAUGGCCGCACCCUGGCUGACUACAACAUCCAGAAGGAGUCCUCGGACACCAUCGACAAUGUGAAGGCGAAGAUCCAGGACAAGGAGGGCAUUCCCCCGGACCAGCAGCGCCUCAUCUUCGCUGGCAAGCAGCUUGAGGAUGGCCGCACCCUGGCUGACUAUAACAUCCAGAAGGAGUCCACCCUCCACCUGGUGCUCAGGCUUCGUGGAGGCAUGCAGAUUUUUGUCAAGACGCUCACCGGCAAGACCAUCACCCUGGAGGUGGAGUCCUCGGACACCAUCGACAAUGUGAAGGCCAAGAUCCAGGACAAGGAGGGUAUCCCCCCGGACCAGCAGCGCCUCAUCUUUGCUGGCAAGCAGCUGGAGGAUGGCCGCACCCUGGCAGACUACAACAUCCAGAAGGAGUCUACCCUUCACCUGGUGCUCCGCCUGCGUGGUGGCCAGUAA
rnacentral:rRNA from 1 species